AGGGGAGGCUCGGGCCCCGGGGGAGGGCUGACCCGGCCGGCUUGCAGGCCGGAGCCGCUGCCCAGCCUCAGGGCACGGCUGUGCCCGCGGCGCCGAUUCCUCGAGGGCCCGGGGCCGAGGAGCCGGUUCCGGCCCGGCGGGUCCGCCCGAGCGUCCGGGGGAGGCGGCGGCGUCCAGACAGCAGGCGCGCGCCCGGGCUCUGCAGCUCCACCACCGUGGCCGUUGUGAUCCUGGGCUCUUGUUUCCGUCUCUGAGCCACGGGCGAUAAAUGAGAUGAUACCUGUGAAAGGUCGGCGUCUUGCGAGGCCUCGGCACCACCGGGGCUGCGGCUGCUGACAGGCUCUCGGUCUCCUCAGGACUCGCUGGGGUUUCGGCUUCAGGACAACGUGGGGCUGCGUCCACGCUGACGGGAGCUGGGUUUCCUGAGGACGCAGGCGACGCCGGAGGAAAAGUCUCAGAUUUACCUGAUGGUCACCACUCACAGUUCCCACAGAGCCCAGAGAUUUCUUCUCGAAGGAAAGGUUCUGGAAAAUCAGAGGGAUAAA
rnacentral:lncRNA from 1 species